rnacentral:rRNA from 1 species
AUUGAACGCUGGCGGCAUGCCUUACACAUGCAAGUCGAACGGCAGCACGGGAGCAAUCCUGGUGGCGAGUGGCGAACGGGUGAGUAAUAUAUCGGAACGUGCCCAGUCGUGGGGAUAACGUAGCGAAAGCUACGCUAAUACCGCAUACGAUCUAUGGAUGAAAGCGGGGGAUCGCAAGACCUCGCGCGAUUGGAGCGGCCGAUAUCAGAUUAGGUAGUUGGUGAGGUAAAGGCUCACCAAGCCGACGAUCUGUAGCUGGUCUGAGAGGACGACCAGCCACACUGGGACUGAGACACGGCCCAGACUCCUACGGGAGGCAGCAGUGGGGAAUUUUGGACAAUGGGCGCAAGUCUGAUCCAGCAAUGCCGCGUGCAGGAUGAAGGCCCUCGGGUUGUAAACUGCUUUGUACGGAACGAAACGGUGAGCUCUAAUACAGUUUGCUAAUGACGGUACCGUAAGAAUAAGCACCGGCUAAC